rnacentral:rRNA from 1 species
UACGUAUGGUGCAAGCGUUAUCCGGAUUUACUGGGUGUAAAGGGAGCGUAGACGGCAGAGCAAGUCUGAAGUGAAAGCCCGCGGCCCAACUGCGGGACUGCUUUGGAAACUGCCCGGCUAGAGUGCUGGAGAGGUAAGCGGAAUUCCUAGUGUAGCGGUGAAAUGCGUAGAUAUUAGGAGGAACACCAGUGGCGAAGGCGGCUUACUGGACAGUAACUGACGUUGAGGCUCGAAAGCGUGGGGAGCAAACAGG